rnacentral:lncRNA from 1 species
CCCUUUGCUUGGCCUUGGUGACGGUCGUCUGCCUCCCUCUAGGCCUGUCUUGCUGCCUGUCCUGGGGCAGCUCUGGCAUCGCACUGACCGCACCUGGCUGGGACAACGGUGGCUCGCCCUUCCUGACCUAUGCCGGCUUCACCCAUCUGAAUGGGCCCAGCUUUGGCUGAAGCCCGGGGGAGAUAACUUUGAGAAAUGGAAAUUCCAGAAAGUUGGGGAAAUAUUUUAACAAACAGUAGAAUCAGUUUGCAUUUGAGUUGCUGAGAAAUGGGGAAGUUGACUUUCCUGGCCAUGGGAGUUCGCGGAGUGAUAUCACCAAGAGAACUUAGAGAGCGGGUCCAAGUUGUCUAAGGCGCGAUCUUAGGAAUGGAAAACAACGAUGCGGUCGGUUGGAAAGGGUCAUAAAUAAACCCCAGUGGGCAGUCCUAACAAGCACAGCCUCAGCAGUGAAGGAAGUUGAAAACACAACCGCCCAACUGCAAGCAGCCAGCCCGUCGCUGGAGGAGAGAGAGGAGCCAGGAUUCCCGAUUCCCAGUCUAGUUCUCAUUUUAUAAACUUGAUCCUAUGUCAUAUGAGUCAACCUUAAAGAUCAACCUGGAAGCCAUACUGAAGAAGGACUGGAGGAGCAGGCCCAGGAAGACAUCUCACUCUCCUGCUCAAAAUCUCCCAAGAGAGUAAAAGAAACUCCAGGCUUCUCAUCACUGCCCAGAAGGGCCCUGUCUGCUUCUCCAUGGCUUCUUGGAGGGUCAUCCUUGUCUUAUUCACCAACAUGUCCCUAGACCUGAAUGAAUGAAUGAAUGAUGACACAUCAAACAAGAGCUGAUAAGGGCCUGAACUAAGGCAGGGAAUGGGGAGGAGGGGACAGAAUAAAG